rfam:Picea glauca, whole genome shotgun sequence.
ACAUGCCUACAAGAUAUCAUUAAUGCACCGGAUCCCAUUAUAACUCCACAAUUAAGCACGCUUAGGCUAGAGUAGUACUAGGAUGGGUGGCUGCCUAGGAAGUCCUAGUGUUUUACAUGCC